GAUGAACGCUGACAGAAUGCUUAACACAUGCAAGUCUACUUGAACUUCGGUUUGGGUGGCGGACGGGUGAGUAACGCGUAAAGAACUUGCCUCACAGUUAGGGACAACAUUUGGAAACGAAUGCUAAUACCUGAUAUUAUGAUUUUAGGGCAUCCUAAGAUUAUGAAAGCUAUAUGCGCUGUGAGAGAGCUUUGCGUCCCAUUAGCUAGUUGGAGAGGUAACGGCUCACCAAGGCGAUGAUGGGUAGCCGGCCUGAGAGGGUGAACGGCCACAAGGGGACUGAGACACGGCCCUUACUCCUACGGGAGGCAGCAGUGGGGAAUAUUGGACAAUGGACCAAAAGUCUGAUCCAGCAAUUCUGUGUGCACGAUGACGUUUUUCGGAAUGUAAAGUGCUUUCAGUUGGGAAGAAAAAAAUGACG
rnacentral:rRNA from 1 species